AACGAACGCUAUCGGUAUGCUUAACACAUGCAAGUCGGACGGACUAAUUAGGGCUUGCUCCAAUUAGUUAGUGGCAGACGGGUGAGUAACACGUGGGAAUCUGCCCAUCAGUACGGAAUAACUUUUAGAAAUAAAGGCUAAUACCGUAUAUUCUCUACAGAGGAAAGAUUUAUCGCUGAUGGAUGAGCCCGCGUCAGAUUAGGUAGUUGGUGAGGUAACGGCUCACCAAGCCGACGAUCUGUAGCUGGUCUGAGAGGAUGAUCAGCCACACUGGGACUGAGACACGGCCCAGACUCCUACGGGAGGCAGCAGUGGGGAAUAUUGGACAAUGGGCGAAAGCCUGAUCCAGCAAUACCGAGUGAGUGAUAAAGGCCCUAGGGUUGUAAAGCUCUUUUAGCAAGGAAGAUAAUGACGUUACUUGCAGAAAAAGCCCCGGCUAACUCCGUG
rnacentral:rRNA from 1 species